AGCAGCCGCGGUAAUUCCAGCUCCAAUAGCGUAUAUUAAAGUUGUUGCAGUUAAAAAGCUCGUAGUUGAAUUUCGGGGUUAGUAGGUCGGUCAUGCCUCUGGUAUGUACUGGUCUCACUGAUUCCUCCUUCCUGAUGAGCCGUAAUGCCAUUAAUUUGGUGUUGCGGGGAAUCAGGACUGUUACUUUGAAAAAAUUAGAGUGUUUAAAGCAGGCUCACGCUUGAAUACAUCAGCAUGGAAUAAUGAAAUAGGACGUUUGAUCCUAUUUUGUUGGCUUCUAGGAUUGACGUAAUGAUUAAUAGGGAUAGUUGGGGGCAUUAGUAUUCAAUUGUCAGAGGUGAAAUUCUUGGAUUUAUUGAAGACUAACUACUGCGAAAGCAUUUGCCAAGGAUGUUUUCAUUAAUCAAGAACGAAAGUUAGGGGAUCGAAGACGAUCAGAUACCGUCGUAGUCUUAACCAUAAACUAUGCCGACUAGGGAUCGGAUGAUGUUAAUUUUUAAUGACU
rnacentral:rRNA from 1 species